AGUGAACGCUGGCGGUAGGCCUAACACAUGCAAGUCGGACGGCAGCACAGUAAGAGCUUGCUCUUACGGGUGGCGAGUGGCGGACGGGUGAGGAAUACAUCGGAAUCUACUUUUUCGUGGGGGAUAACGUAGGGAAACUUACGCUAAUACCGCAUACGACCUACGGGUGAAAGCAGGGGAUCUUCGGACCUUGCGCGAUUGAAUGAGCCGAUGUCGGAUUAGCUAGUUGGCGGGGUAAAGGCCCACCAAGGCGACGAUCCGUAGCUGGUCUGAGAGGAUGAUCAGCCACACUGGAACUGAGACACGGUCCAGACUCCUACGGGAGGCAGCAGUGGGGAAUAUUGGACAAUGGGCGCAAGCCUGAUCCAGCCAUACCGCGUGGGUGAAGAAGGCCUUCGGGUUGUAAAGCCCUUUUGUUGGGAAAGAAAAGCAGCAGGUUAAUACCCCGCUGUUCUGACGGUACCCAAAGAAUAAGCACCGGCUAACUUCGUU
rnacentral:rRNA from 1 species